rnacentral:lncRNA from 1 species
AUGGGGUUCCAUUUCAGACCCAUCCUAAUGGGAUUCCAUUUCAGACCCAUCCUAAUGGGGUUCCAUUUCAGACCCAUCCUAAUGGGGUUCUAUUUCAGACCCAUCCUAAUGGGGUUCCAUUUCAGACCCAUCCUAAUGGGGUUCCAUUUCAGACCCAUCCUAACGGGGUUCUAUUUCAGACCCAUCCUAACGGGGUUCUAUUUCAGACCCAUCCUGACGGGGUUCCAUUUCAGACCCAUCCUAACGGGGUUCCAUUUCAGACCCAUCCUAAUGGGGUUCCAUUACAGACCCAUCCUAACGGGGUUCCAUUUCAGACCCAUCCUAACGGGGUUCCAUUUCAGACCCAUCCUAACGGGAUUCCAUUUCAGACCCAUCCUAACGGGGUUCCAUUUCAGACCCAUCCUAAUGGGGUUCUAUUUCAGACCCAUCCUAAUGGGGUUCUAUUUCAGACCCAUCCUAAUGGGGUUCUAUUUCAGACCCAUCCUAAUGGGGUUCUAUUUCAGACCCAUCCUAAUGGGGUUCUAUUUCAGACCCAUCCUAAUGGGGUUCUAUUUCAGACCCAUCCUAAUGGGGUUCCAUUUCAGACCCAUCCUAAUGGGGUUCUAUUUCAGACCCAUCCUAAUGGGGUUCCAUUUCAGACCCAUCCUAACGGGGUUCUAUUUCAGACCCAUCCUAAUGGGGUUCCAUUACAGACCCAUCCUAAUGGGGUUCUAUUUCAGACCCAUCCUAAUGGGGUUCCAUUUCAGACCCAUCCUAAUGGGGUUCUAUUUCAGACCCAUCCUAAUGGGGUUCUAUUUCAGACCCAUCCUAAUGGGGUUCUAUUUCAGACCCAUCCUAAUGGGGUUCUAUUUCAGACCCAUCCUAAUGGGGUUCUAUUUCAGACCCAUCCUAAUGGGGUUCCAUUUCAGACCCAUCCUAAUGGGGUUCCAUUUCAGACCCAUCCUAAUGGGGUUCUAUUUCAGACCCAUCCUAAUGGGGUUCCAUUUCAGACCCAUCCUAAUGGGGUUCCAUUUCAGACCCAUCCUAAUGGGGUUCUAUUUCAGACCCAUCCUAAUAGAUCAUAAAUCAUUCAGAGAGUGA